rnacentral:rRNA from 1 species
AUUGAACGCUGGCGGCAGGCCUAACACAUGCAAGUCGAGCGGUAACAGGACUAGCUUGCUAGUCGCUGACGAGCGGCGGACGGGUGCGUAACACGUAGGAAUCUGCCCGGUAGUGGGGGAUAGCCCGGAGAAAUCCGGAUUAAUACCGCAUACGCCGUUAAAGGGGGAAAGCAGGGGCCCCCGUUUAUUUUUUUAAAGAGUGGACCUUGCGCUGUCGGAUGAGCCUGCGUCGGAUUAGCUUGUUGGUGGGGUAAAGGCCUACCAAGGCUACGAUCCGUAGCUGGUCUGAGAGGAUGAUCAGCCACACUGGGACUGAGACACGGCCCAGACUCCUACGGGAGGCAGCAGUGGGGAAUAUUGCACAAUGGGCGCAAGCCUGAUGCAGCCAUGCCGCGUGUGUGAAGAAGGCCCUAGGGUUGUAAAGCACUUUCAGCGAGGAGGAAAGGGUGUAGGUUAAUACCCUGCAUCUGUGACGUUACUCG